rnacentral:rRNA from 1 species
AGAGUUUGAUCCUGGCUCAGGAUGAACGCUAGCUACAGGCCUAACACAUGCAAGUCGAGGGGCAACAUGGUAUCAGCUUGCUGAUACCGAUGGCGACCGGCGCACGGGUGAGUAACGCGUAUGUAAUCUACCUGUAACAGAGGGAUAACCCGGAGAAAUCCGGACUAAUACCUCAUAGCACAUAUUAUUCGCAUGAAUUUUAUGUUAAAGAGACUCGGUUACAGAUGAACAUGCGUUCCAUUAGCUAGUUGGCGGGGUCACGGCCCACCAAGGCAACGAUGGAUAGGGGUUCUGAGAGGAAGGUCCCCCACACUGGUACUGAGACACGGACCAGACUCCUACGGGAGGCAGCAGUGAGGAAUAUUGGUCAAUGGGCGGAAGCCUGAACCAGCCAAGUCGCGUGGAGGAAGACGGCCCUACGGGUUGUAAACUCCUUUUACCUGGGAAUAACGGGCGCUACGCGUAGCGCUGUGCAUGUACCGGGAGAAUAAGCAUCGGCUAAUUCCGUGCCAGCAGCCGCGGUAAUACGGAAGAUGCGAGCGUUAUCCGGAUUUAUUGGGUUUAAAGGGUGCGUAGGCGGAAGAAUAAGUCAGCGGUGAAAUGCUUGCAGCUCAACUGGAGAAUUGCCGAUGAAACUGUUUUUCUAGAGUAUAAAAGAGGUAUGCGGAAUGCGUGGUGUAGCGGUGAAAUGCAUAGAUAUCACGCAGAACUCCGAUUGCGAAGGCAGCAUACUGGGCUAUAACUGACGCUGAAGCACGAAAGCGUGGGUAUCGAACAGGAUUAGAUACCCUGGUAGUCCACGCCGUAAACGAUGAAUACUAACUGUUUGCGAUAUAAUGUAAGCGGUACAGCGAAAGCGUUAAGUAUUCCACCUGGGGAG